ACCAUGCAAGUCGAACGAGUUCUCGGUUGAUGAUCGGUGCUUGCCCGAGAUUCAACAUGGAACGAGUGGCCGGACGGGUGAGUAAUACACGUGGGGUAACCUGCCCUUAAGUGGGGGAUAACAUUUUGGAAACCAGAUGCUAAUACCGCAUAGAUCCAAGAACCGCAUGGUUCUUGGCUGAAAGAUGGCGUAAGCUAUCGCUUUUGGAUUUCGGACCCGCGGCGUAUUAGCUAGUUGGUGAGGUAAUGGCUCAACCAAGGCGAUGUAUACGUAGCCGAACUGAGAGGUUGAUCGGCCACAUUGGGACUGAGACACGGCCCAAACUCCUACGGGAGGCAGCAGUAGGGAAUCUUCCACAAUGGACGCAAGUCUGAUGGAGCAACGCCGCGUGAGUGAAGAAGGCUUUCGGGUCGUAAAACUCUGUUGUUGGAGAAGAAUGGUCGGCAGAGUAACUGUUGUCGGCGUGACGGUAUCCAACCAGAAAGCCACGGCUAACUACGUGCCAGCAGCCGCGGUAAUACGUAGGUGGCAAGCGUUAUCCGGAUUUAUUGGGCGUAAAGCGAGCGCAGGCGGUUUUUUAAGUCUGAUGUGAAAGCCCUCGGCUUAACCGAGGAAGCGCAUCGGAAACUGGGAAACUUGAGUGCAGAAGAGGACAGUGGAACUCCAUGUGUAGCGGUGAAAUGCGUAGAUAUAUGGAAGAACACCAGUGGCGAAGGCGGCUGUCUGGUCUGUAACUGACGCUGAGGCUCGAAAGCAUGGGUAGCGAACAGGAUUAGAUACCCUGGUAGUCCAUGCCGUAAACGAUGAAUGCUAGGUGUUGGAGGGUUUCCGCUCUUCAGUGCCGCAGCUAACGCAUUAAGCAUUCCGCCUGGGGAGUACGACCGCAAGGUUGAAACUCAAAGGAAUUGACGGGGGCCCGCACAAGCGGUGGAGCAUGUGGUUUAAUUCGAAGCAACGCGAAGAACCUUACCAGGUCUUGACAUCUUUUGAUCACCUGAGAGAUCAGGUUUCCCCUUCGGGGGCAAAAUGACAGGUGGUGCAUGGUUGUCGUCAGCUCGUGUCGUGAGAUGUUGGGUUAAGUCCCGCAACGAGCGCAACCCUUAUGACUAGUUGCCAGCAUUUAGUUGGGCACUCUAGUAAGACUGCCGGUGACAAACCGGAGGAAGGUGGGGAUGACGUCAAAUCAUCAUGGCCCCUUAUGACCUGGGCUACACACGUGCUACAAUGGAUGGUACAACGAGUUGCGAGACCGCGAGGUCAAGCUAAUCUCUUAAAGCCAUUCUCAGUUCGGACUGUAGGCUGCAACUCGCCUACACGAAGUCGGAAUCGCUAGUAACGCGGAUCAGCACCGCCGCGGUGAAUACGAUUCCCGGGCCUUGUACACACCCGCCCGUCA
rnacentral:rRNA from 2 species